rnacentral:rRNA from 1 species
CAGUCGCCGCGGUAAUACGUAGGUGGCAAGCGUUGUCCGGAAUUAUUGGGCGUAAAGGGCUCGCAGGCGGUUUCUUAAGUCUGAUGUGAAAGCCCCCGGCUCAACCGGGGAGGGUCAUUGGAAACUGGGAAACUUGAGUGCAGAAGAGGAGAGUGGAAUUCCACGUGUAGCGGUGAAAUGCGUAGAGAUGUGGAGGAACACCGGUGGCGAAGGCGACUCUCUGGUCUGUAACUGACGCUGAGGAGCGAAAGCGUGGGGAGCGAACAGGAUUAGAUACCCCUGUAGUCCCUGUCUCUUAUAC